UACCGCUUGAGCCACAUCCUCAGCCCCUGUUGUUGUUAGUUAAAGAUGGUGGAUAGACAGGAUGGGGAGCUGCACUGUGGGGUAUUCAUACGUGUACAUGGGAAAGUUAGGUCAGAUUCAUUCCUCUGUUGUCCCCUUCGCCCGUCCCUUCUUCCUCCCCCUCGGUCCCCUUCACCUAGUCCACGGAUCUUUUAUUUUGAUGGAACCCCCCAUUUUCCCUUUCUCUCGUUCUCUCUCUCUCUCUCUUCUCCCUCUUAUUUUGGACUUGCUUCCUCAAAUCAGAGAAAACACUUGGACUUUGGUUUCGAGUCCAGCUUAGUUCACUUAGCAUGAUGAUCUCCAGUUCCAUCAUGAGCCAGCGAAUGCCUCUCCUGCCAGCGCUUCCCAUUGGCCCAGCGUAGCAGCUCUUCUAGUGUCGUGGAUCAAGCCCUGGUAUCAAAUUCCUUCUGCUUAAAACCUAGAACACUUCAGAUCGACCUGCUGAGACAAUCAUCAUUUUUCGAGGGUCUCCUUGGACAAGGCAGUCCUGCGUGCAUGUUGCAUAUGAAAUGAAUUUAAUCUCAUCAUACCACAAAAUGGGUUUAAUUUAAUUGUAUCAUAAAGAAAAAACACAGGUUCAUUUAGUUCACAG